UAAUUAGUUGCCACGAUAGUGGGCUCUAUAUUACCGGUAUGAAAUUUUAUCCGGCCAAAGACUGUUAGCUCAGCAGCUAUUCCCAAACAUGCUUGGAAUAUUUUUAUGCUGUUACAACAACAACAAACAUGAAUGGAUAAACAAAUUGAAUAAGCCUUUGCAUCUCUUGGCUUCUACUCAUGUUUAGUCAAGAAAUUAAUUUAAUUAUUUGUAUAACUAUUGCGGACCCAAGGUGCACAUUAAAUAAUAUGAGUUGUGGAAAAUAUUACUUUAUGUGAACUUCUACGAAAGUCUCACUGCCGAGUUUUUAGAAAAAAAAAUUGAUUAUCUUAAAAAGAGAAUGGGAUAUGAGCAUUUAUUUUCCUUGAAUUGAAGAGAGCAGAAAUUAAUAUUAAGUUGAUAUGUAGUUUCAAAUUAAAAUAAAAUAUUUGUAAGUAUUUUGUGUAUGAAUAUCAGGAUGAGCAUAAAAAGCCCGAACAUGUAAAACCUAAAUAUAGAGUUACUACAUAAAAAUCGGAGGUGAAAUUUAUUUAAAUGUGAUUUGUAUACAAUUAAAUAUAAUAAAACAAAAUGUUAA